rnacentral:rRNA from 1 species
AGAUUGAACGCUGGCGGCAGGCCUAACACAUGCAAGUCGAGCGGUAGAGAGAAGCUUGCUUCUCUUGAGAGCGGCGGACGGGUGAGUAAUGCCUAGGAAUCUGCCUGGUAGUGGGGGAUAACGUUCGGAAACGGACGCUAAUACCGCAUACGUCCUACGGGAGAAAGCAGGGGACCUUCGGGCCUUGCGCUAUCAGAUGAGCCUAGGUCGGAUUAGCUAGUUGGUGAGGUAAUGGCUCACCAAGGCGACGAUCCGUAACUGGUCUGAGAGGAUGAUCAGUCACACUGGAACUGAGACACGGUCCAGACUCCUACGGGAGGCAGCAGUGGGGAAUAUUGGACAAUGGGCGAAAGCCUGAUCCAGCCAUGCCGCGUGUGUGAAGAAGGUCUUCGGAUUGUAAAGCACUUUAAGUUGGGAGGAAGGGCAGUUACCUAAUACGUAUCUGUUUUGACGUUACCGACAGAAUAAGCACCGGCUAACUCUGUGCCAGCAGCCGCGGUAAUACAGAGGGUGCAAGCGUUAAUCGGAAUUACUGGGCGUAAAGCGCGCGUAGGUGGUUUGUUAAGUUGGAUGUGAAAUCCCCGGGCUCAACCUGGGAACUGCAUUCAAAACUGACUGACUAGAGUAUGGUAGAGGGGUGGGUGGAAUUUCCUGUGUAGCGGUGAAAUGCGUAGAUAUAGGAAGGAACACCAGUGGCGAAGGCGACCACCUGGACUAAUACUGACACUGAGGUGCGAAAGCGUGGGGAGCAAACAGGAUUAGAUACCCUGGUAGUCCACGCC